GCCAUUUUUUUACCCAAGUAAUAAUGGUCCAAUUUCUACCUGCAGUGCAGUACCGGCGUAGGUAACAGAGAGAUGAAAAUAUGCACAGCGGGAUUCUCCGCUUGACAGACAGUUCUGCUGCCUCCUCCUCCCAUGGACCCGGCCGUGGGUGGGAAUCCCUUUUUUUUUUUGGUGGUAAGAAAGACUUUUUACUAACUGGAGCAUUGGGGCUGGUUGUGAGAGCUCACACACGUGGGAGCAAUCUCCCAGGCAGCAGCCUUAGGGCAGAGAGGGGUCAGGGGUGACGAGCCCUGGGCAGGUCCCUACCCAGGGGACUGGCUCGAGGUAGCACCUACCGGGGAGGACAUGGGGAUGGGACAUGUUUUGUUUGGGAUAUCUUUUCUUUUAGUGUUUGUUCCUGUUGUAUUGUAGGUUUUUCAGUGAAUUCCCACUUUCCCUGUCCCUUCCCCAUCCUCCCACGCACCUUCACUGCUGAGGGAUGGGGUGAAACAACGGGUCAGACACCCACCAGCAGCUCUGGGAAAGGCCAGGCUCACCCUUGGCCACCCCAUCCCACCACGCACCAGCCGCUGGGUCACACAGGGGGCUGCCCAAAACCCAAAAUACUUGGUGGGGUGGACUCUGUGCUGGGUUUUGAGACUGGGGGGUGGUCGGUGAAAGAUAUAAAUAUCCUCACGUAGCUGUAGGAGUAUCUGUGCUCGUAGGGCUGUUGUGCUUCAGGGCUUCCAGAAGGCUUCUGUACGUCACAGGUAGGGCAAACGUCAGCUGGAGAUGUAGGUGUAGCAGAUGUGAUAGAUACGACACGGUCACUGUGACCAGUUGGGCCAAGAGCACGCCCAAGGGUUGGGCUUCAUUUGUAUGGCGUUGGGUUUGAGUUUCCAAGGUGUUUGUACUCCUGAGAGGGAGGGCAGAGCUGUGUCUAUCUCCUGCUUCGCUGGUCUGCGCAGCACAGGUUGGAGCAUCUCUCCUCUGUCCUGCCAGAGGAGAUGUGCCAUUGGGCUGAGCAAACGUUAUGAGGCUGGGGUUUGGCUGUUUUCUAAGAAAGGGGGAAAAAAACCAAACAAAAACCUAACAUUUUUAACAUUAGCAGUUUCUAGAAUGUGCAAUUUGAGAAAAGAGGAGAACAUGAGCAAGGUAACACCAAAAUGUGGCGCAGGUAGGUGCGGAGGGAGCUUCUCGCCUGCCCUCCCUGGGGCAGGGGUCCCACCUCGUCCUGGGGCUGGGUGAUGAUGCUUGUGGUUCAUCACACUGGGCAGAGAUUUUAGGCCAGUUUUGACCAACCACUCCAAGUCGCAGUGACUGAUGUGACUCGCUUGGUGUCCUUCCUGCCUGCUCACCACCUGCUGAUCUAACCUGGUGGGGUUUCAGAAACGAAAGCCAGGAUGCUGGACGCUGGCUAAAGGACAGACAGCACCAGCAGACCCAUCAACACAUCUUGUUUAUCAACAAGAUAAACACAACUCAUGGAUUUAUACAGAUUUAUUUGCUUCUAGAAAUAUGUCAAGUUACGCAUUUUACUUUUAUUGCUCUAAAGAGUUCCUGUCUUUUUUUUUUCUUUUUUCUUUUUUUUUUUUUUAGCAAUUGCCAAUACAAAUGUAGCCUUCAGUUACAGAAAUCCCCACAACCAAUCCUGCAGAAACUUUACAUCCAAAGCGGGAAAAAAAAAAGUUGGGGGGGAGGGGUGUUGAAACGUUGUACCCUCUUCAAAAAUGGUUGGGUUGGGUUGCGAGUUUUAACAGGCGACUGCCAAGGUCAAUGUUUUUGCUUUGCUGAAGGAGGGAUUGAAAGGGAAGUCCCCGUCGUCUCCAUUUCUGUGCAGUCAGCGUUUGCUGUCAGCUUGUUACCCUCUACAGCUUCUUACGGGCCCCAGGGGGAACACACCUUCAAUCUGAAGCCAAGGAUUUACUGCUCUUCCAGUUAAUAUUUUAACAAUUUAGUAGCCCAAAUUAUUGGCCCUGUUUUGAUAGUAAAACCUGAUAGUCCAAAUUAAUAAGGCAAAGGUUCAAGGAUACAGUAAAAACCAUCACACAGGAGAAACCCUCCCUGAUACCCCUCCCCGCUGUGGCUGGGGUUGAGCUGACGCUUCAGUGUCCCUCUGGGCCCCGAGGAGGAGCAACCUGUUCUAGGUGGACCUGCUUUGGCAGGGGGGGUUGGACUAGAUGAUCUCCAGAGGUCCAUUCUGUGAUUCUGUGUUGAUGCUUCAGCCCUCCUGGAGCUGGGCUGGGGUUGGACAUGGUCGUGGUUGGCAGCCUGAGGUCUGCGUGGGCGGCGAGGGCAGGUCUGGGGGCUCUCCCCCUCUUUGCCAGGAGGCACAUGAUGUUGGUGUUGAUGCUUCCUCCCUCCUCACCUCGGGUCCACUUGGGUUUAUUUUGGAUUCCUUUUCACACAAGUCCGCCUACGCUGCUGCUUUCCAUCAGUUCCCCGUUAUUUAGCUUUUCUGUUCUCUUCCUUAUCCCAAAGCCAUUUUCCCAACCUGUUGUAGUUUGGUGGCCCGGGGCUGCAUUUGGCCGUGCCACCUUCUGCUGGGGAGCCCAGACAGCCGAGUCCCCCCAGGGUAUCGACCCCGUAUCGCUCUACGCUAAAGCAAACCCAAAGCCAACCAUAGUUACCCAAAAACUAGGCAUCUGCUGGCACAGCUCAACAAGCUGAAGUCAGCCCAGGCUCAGACAAGCCCUGACCCCACGCUGGGGCUGGCACGGAGCCUGUGGCCUUUUCAGUGCUUAUAAAUGACAUUUCCUGGGCUACCACUUGCUCAAAACGGUUGUGACAAACGUCCCCAGGCCGGUGGUGGCCGAGGGCUGCAGCCACGGCGGUGGCUGGUGGCCACCAUGCGUUGGGUGUGAGGAUGGGGAGCUCUGGGGAAGGGGGGUGUCUGGGGAGGAACGUUUGCUUCCAUGUUAUCCAGGUGGUGAUUCGUGGUGUUUCAGUUAGAAAAGGCCUCGUACUUCACAGGGAUGUGGCCGGGGGCGGGAGGUAGUGGUCUAGGGAAAAAUAUUAACGAGGACCCCUGUCCCUGGAAGGGGGAGAACCAGAAAUAGUGGAUUUCCAAGUGUCUCUGUCUUUCAGCCUGCUCUUUCGUGCCAUAACGUGUAUGUUUUAACUAAGGGCGAGGGUCUCAAAAGGCUUUGAGAGCGCAGCUACUUAUCAUUUACAAAUGACAAACUGCCUGUUGUUUUUCCGGUGGGCUUGGUAGGGGCUAAGGUAGAGCGAAAUAUCUAAAGUCCACCUUUGCUUUAAACAGAUGCAUUUCUAUCUGCAGAAGUAAGAAUUAUUUCACUUAUUGGCAUAGCUGGACAGUUAUCUAUUUCUUUCUGUUACCAAGGUACUUGUAACUCUCUUGCACUGUUUAUCUAAAGUUGAAAUAUGUUCUUUGAAUCCUUGUAUAAAUAAAAAGGCUGGAGACUUAAAUCUGUA